UACGUAGGGUGCAAGCGUUAUCCGGAAUUAUUGGGCGUAAAGAGCGCGUAGGUGGUUUGAUAAGUUAUUCGUUAAAUCUUCAGGCUCAACCUGAUUACUGCGAGUAAAACUGUCAGACUAGAGGAUAGCAGGGGCAAGUGGAAUUCCCGGUGUAGGAGUGAAAUCCGUUGAUAUCGGGAGGAACACCAAUGGCGAAGGCAGCUUGCUAGGUUAUCUCUGACACUGAGGCGCGAAAGCGUGGGGAG
rnacentral:rRNA from 1 species